AGGAGUGGAGAAAGGUUGCGCUGAAGUGGGUAGUAGUUUGAGGGAGUGAUUGACCCGCCACUGGGGAAGGCAACACCCUUAGGAUCCGGAUUCGCCGGCUGCCAGGCGCACAGACAAACUGUGGUGCAAAGUGGGAGCAGACUACCCAAGGGUAUGAACAGCAAGAGUCUGGAUGAGUGGGGAUCACCUUGGAGGCUGGGACCACCUUGGAAGCUGGCUACCAAAAAUUCAGCUUGCCAGUCCUGACCAUGCCUUGACUGACCUCCACCGAAUCUUCCAGAUCUUGAGAGCUUCCUGGACUUUCACCUGCUUCCAAAUUCCUCUGAUGCUCUUGGAAAUUUGGCUAGUUCAAUGUAUACUCAUUCAUUCAGAAUAAAUGUACCAAAGCUGGAAGAGAAGAAAAAACACAUGAUGAAAAGUAUAGUAACUGUCCUGAUGAAAUUAUAUAUAAGGAAGUCAGCAAUUGGAUGAAAAGACUAUUUCCCAGUAUCCAGAUAUUUUCUAAGAAUGACUAGCUAACAACAUUGUUUCUUUUGUUUUUGGCCACCAUUCUCUAGUUUAUCACUGACCUAAUCAAGUCAACAUCACUGGGGCUGGGAAUAGACUCCAAGUACAUGAAAACAAUGAGAUUAGAAACACAUCUCAGUCUUCUAUAAUGUAGAGAUAGCAGAGACAAAGUAUCAAUACAUUCAGCCUGGGAAAUAUUAGUAAGAACAAAAUCACAGAGAACAGUUUGGGAAUACAUAAAGAAACCUUGGAAGCUCCCAACUUCCAAUAAUCUUACAGUUUUCAAUUUAUACAUUAUCUUCUCAGAGUACUAUAAUUUAUAAUUGAUUCUGGCCUCACAUGUGGAAAGACAACAGAUUUGAAAGUUUAUGUGUGACUUUCCUUCAAUAUCUAAACCAAUGACUAAAUAUUACAACCAUUCAAGGCAAUGCAUAUAUUUAUUAACAUAAUUGUAUUGCCCAAGAGUACAACAUGUUAUUUUCCACAUGUCACUUUCUAUUUGACAAUAAUAUCUGAUUUACUCAGUGGUCAAUCUUCUGUUCAUUUCAACAUUUGUAAUAAUCUGAGAACUGAGAGCAAACAGGAAUGUUCAGAUCCAUUGAAAUACCUGGUGUUUUAAGAUUCAUGCAUCUUGUCUAUUGGCUAGAUCCUCAAUUCAAUAUUUUAUGUGAUGAAUGCACAUUUUCAACAAGCUUGUUAUUUCAUUUCUCUGUCCACAUCAAAGUGGAUGGGGAAGAACUGAAAGAUUUGUUUGAGAAUCUAUGCAUUCAUUCCAUAAACAUUUUUAAAAGAACCUGUGUGUUCAACCCUGCACUGACAAACUAAAAUGUUAUAUAAUAAUUAAAUAAUAGCCAUAGAAGAGACAAAAAAGUAACCAUACUAAAGCCAAGCAUAAAAUUGGUGAUCAUGAAAAUGACUCUAAAUUGUUAUAAUAACAUCUAAAUUAUGCUUACAAUUCUUUGUGUGUGAAAGCAAGUAGGAAGCGUGUUUGUUUUAGUAGGACAUUUUAAAUAUUAUCUUCAUUUUCUAGGACUGUAACUUAAAAUACAUAUUGUUGAAAAUGUAAUCUUUAAUACUUAAUUUAUUUUAUAACGUUCAUUUACUGAAGCAGAUUUCACAACAGCAGCAGGUGUACAAUGAUAUUAACGGGCAGUGCCUCACUGUUUCUUUAGAAACUUCUAGAAUUUAUUCUCAUAAAAAUAAUUAUCUCCAAAGGCCAGUAGAGAAAUUUAAUAAGCUUGAGAUUAAUUAUGAUUACAUUAUGUCUCAGAAAAUGGACAUUGUGUAAUAAGGUACAGCUAGAUUCCCUGGAGAAACCACAGCGGUUAUUUCCAAUUGGCUAUUUCUAUUAGAUACAGGAAUAGCACCAAGAAGCUUUGAAAAUUUAAUAAUCUCUGUCCUCCCUAGAGGACUCAAUCAGUAGAUUGAAAUGAAAUGUUAUGUUGUAUUUCAAAAUAGAAUAUUCUGAAUUAUGUACACAAAUUAAUAUUAGUGGUCAUUCAGAAAAGUAAUCAAACAUUGCACCUGUGAAACUAGCCAUACAGAAUGGCAUGAGUUCAUAAGUUCAAGGGCUUCAUAAAAUAUUGCUGUGGGCAAGUAAGCAUUUAAAUCAAAAUUGAAAAUACAAGCCUCAGGUCUAUAGCUUAAUGUAUUUUCUGGUCUAAGUUGCAUAUGUAUUAUCAUAUUUUGUGCUUAUAUAAAAUGCAACAGUUUUCAAAAAUAAACACAAAUGGCCACCACCAGUCAAAUUAGUAACAUCCCAGUGAAAUUCAGUUUGGCUAAAAACCAAAAUUGGCAGUCUCAUGCCUGAUCUUCUAAAGAUGAUCUUUCUUUUUUAUGCCAUAUAUUUAUUAUUUUAACCUAACAACACACCUCAAUGCUAGUCAUCACCAAAACAGCUAUACAUGACCAUCCAUAUUUUGAAAUGUAAAGUUGACAAUUAUUUUAUAUUUUACUUGCUGACAUACUGAUUUCUAGGCUUUCCCCAGGAAUGGUGAUUUUGAAUCAAUAAUCAUACAUUAUUAUUGUUAUGUUUCUAUAAAACAGACUGUUAAUUCUUCUUAGCGUUCUAUUAUAUGUAAUUAGAGUUAAAGUGCAAAUGAAAUAAAAAUAAAAAUUCGACCUGGUAUUUGGUUCAUCCAUUUGCAAAGUAAUUGAAUAAAAUGAAAACUUGCCAUCUGUUCUAUGUAUUCAAAAUCCAUGUGUUUGUAACAUGGUAGCCUUUCCAGAGGAAAUAUAUUAAGAUCAUUUUUGACGGCAUGUUUCAAAAUAUUGUGGACUCUCACCAACUUAAUGGAUUUGAUUCUUGAUACGUAUCCAUUUUUCUUUCCAUUCCUUAUGUUUAUAUUACAAAUCUAUGUAGGUAUUUUAAAUAAUGAAAAUAACUUUUACCCUAUUUUCUUGAAUGCUCAGGAAAAAUUAAAAAAAAAAAAUCUGCUCCCUAGGCACAGUCACUGAAAUCUCCAAAGAAUGAGUCUUUAGAUGUAUUACAAUUGGGAAAAAUAGAGCUCUUUAAAUAGUAAUAUUGUAUAAAAUCACCAGAUGGCAACUCCUAGUCCCUAUAGACGAUUUCUCUUCUCCUGGUAGACGAAACACUUAAGAGAACAAAAUAAAUUAUUCUGUACCAAAAAGGAGCUGUUUCCAAGUACUAACAUUAUUUUUGUAUCAUCCUUUCCACACUUGUUAGUUUCUUUCUUUCAUUUUUACUGAUAUUAACAAAAAGAAUAUUUAUUGGGGCGCCUGGGUGGCUCAGUGGGUUAAGCCGCUGCCUUCGGCUCAGGUCAUGAUCUCAGGGUCCUGGGAUCGAGUCCCACAUCGGGCUCUCUGCUCAGCGGGAAGCCUGC